rnacentral:siRNA from 1 species
CAGAUCUUCCUCACUUCAAUGGUC